rnacentral:tRNA from 1 species
CCCCGGCCUGAGUGGCGGCGGCGCGGAUCUGCUGUGCCAGCGGCGCGGGGACGCGCAGGCCGAGCGGCACCAUCGGUUCCGUCUCCGGUGCCGGCGGC